UGGGGAAUAUUGCACAAUGGGCGCAAGCCUGAUGCAGCCAUGCCGCGUGUAUGAAGAAGGCCUUCGGGUUGUAAAGUACUUUCAGCGGGGAGAAAGGGAGUAAAGUUAAUACCUUUGCUCAUUGACGUUACCCGCAGAAGAAGCACCGGCUAACUCCGUGCCAGCAGCCGCGGUAAUACGGCGGGUGCAAGCGUUAAUCGGAAUUACUGGGCGUAAAGCGCACGCAGGCGGUUUGUUAAGUCAGAUGUGAAAUCCCCGGGCUCAACCUGGGAACUGCGUCUGAGACUGGCAAGCUUGAGUCUCGUAGAGGGGGGUAGAAUUCCAGGUGUAGCGGUGAGAUGCGUAGAGAGCUGGAGGAAUACCGGUGGCGAAGGCGGCCCCCUGGACGAAGACUGACGCUCAGGUGCGAAAGCGUGGGGAGCAAACAGG
rnacentral:rRNA from 1 species